UUAUUACAUCCGAGAGCUACCAAUGGUCGUUACUUCCCUAUGUAAAAAGUAAACGGUCUCAUUCUACAGUCUCUUUCGUAGUGGCGUCGUAUAUAAGCAUUUCGCGUCUCUCCUCCUCGUAAGGAUAAGUCACUCAAAUUACAGAAGAAAUGUUGCUUGCCAGCCAAUUCACUGCUUUCAGGUUUUCAAGUUCAAUAUUAAAGGCCCAGAAAGUUACCCAAAUUGAUGGGCAGCAGAGGAGAUCUGUUGGAUUUGAUCUAUCUACAUUCUGUAAUUCAAUAACAUAUGCAGUUUCUAGAGGAGAUGCAAAUAUUCCUGUUCAACUUGAUAUACAGUUUCCAGUGGAUUACACAGAGCUCAUUGAACAAGUGAAAACAGCAACCGAAAUGGCUUUCAAGGAUCAAAAGCAUUUGUUGGAAAUUGAAUUUCCAACUGCUGGACUUGCAUCUGUGCCAGGUGAUGGUGAGGGAGGAAAUGAGAUGACAGACUCUAUGCAGUUAAUACGACAAUAUUGUGAUCGCUUUCUAAAGGCUGAGAAAGUGACUCGCACCAGAAUAUUCUUCCCUGAAGCGAAUGAAGUCACAUUUGCAAGAAAAUCAGCCUUUGAAGGAGCAUCUUUCAAGUUGGACUACUUAACGAAACCAUCAUUAUUUGAAGAUUUUGGUUUUAGUACAAAGGUCAAAAUGGAUGACCGUGUAAAGCCUGAAGAUGAAAUAUUCUUGGUUGCCUAUCCUUAUUUUAAUGUCAAUGAGAUGCUUGUGGUGGAAGAACUGUACAAUGAAGCUGUUGUGAACACAGACAGAAAAUUGAUUAUAUUUAAUGGAGAACUUGAUCGGAUAAGAAGUGGAUAUUAUCCACCUUUCUUCUAUCCGAAGCUUGCAAAGCUUUCGAAGACCUUCUUGCCCAAGCUUGAGACUGUCUAUUACAUCCACAAUUUUAAAGGUCGCAAUGGUGGCAUGCUGUUUAGGUGUUAUCCAGGCCCUUGGAUGGUGCUGAGAAAAGUGGAUAAUAAGCACAUAUGUGUGCAUCAACAGGAAGUGAUGCCAUCACUUAAGGAAGUUGCUCUGGAAAUUCUUCCAUCAGCUUGAUUAGUGAGAAAAUUUGGUAAACUAUUGAACACAAAUUAUUUAUUCAAAGGUGUAAAAUGCAAUAGCAUAUUGAAUGCCAUACGUAGUGUAUGAAUUUUAUGCAUAAUUUAUGUUUCCAUCUUAAACAUCAUUACAACUUCAGCGCCUGAUAUAAUAUCAUUACAACUUCACAAUUUUCUCACAAUAGUGACUUUUCUAUUUAUAACUCUUCAUUUCAGCAUUCCAGUUAGCUGAGUCCGAGCAUCAAUAUCAUAUCAUAUUGUGUUACUUAAAUGAGUGGGUCGUAUCUUCACGUUAACAAUUACUUCUAGCAUAUGGAGACUGAGCUCAUGAUCGCUGAAGAGAAAACCUAGAAUCUCUUCAUUGGUAGAGAAUCUUUGUGUGUGCAUGCACACGCUUUUGUACGUUUUUUACUCUUAUCUUGACUCUUCAGAUAAAUUUUUGGUUUGUUAUUUUUUUCAUUGUAUUAUUGCCUUUGCAUUUAGUAUAUCGAGACCAGCCAUCUCUCAGUUAUUCAAAUUGUUUUUCUUUCAGAGUUCUUAUUCGUAUGGUUUUUCUUUAGUUCCUUUUUUACAAUAUUUAGAAGUGGAGAUUAUGGAGGGAGUAUGUUUCAGCUUUUCACAAACAACCUCAGUCAUGGCCAUCUAUUCAGAUGGUGUGUGUUCAAUGAUCCUUGGCCCCUCUGGAAUAUGGAUUCUAGAUUGUUAAUUUAUCUUGUACGUGAUGCCAUGAGGUAACUUGCUCUUCUUUAGCUGUAACAUAACUGUAUAGAUAUGUUCUUUUUAGUCUCAAUACUAAUCAUGUAAUGCUUACAUAUUUCCAAAUGCAGAAUUGUACUCAUUAUUUCUA